ensembl:lncRNA
GUAUUCUACGAGAAGUGGCAGUGAGUGUGAUGAUCACUUCAGAGUCAAGCUCCAUCUACCCCACGACAGACGUCCUUCACCAGGCAGGGCCUCCACCAGCUCCUCCACCAGGCAGGGCCUUCAGCACGGCUCCUCCAUCAGCUCCUUCAGCACACCUUACCUCCUCAGCUGAAGAGCACACUAGUUGGAGUUCCCAGUUUGGUUCUGAUUUAAGGAAACCAAUCGUUCAGCUAGUCCUGUCCGAAACAAAUACAGUUCAGCCUGAGAAGACGUGCAACUGAGAAAAAGACAAGAUCCACAGGGCUCUCCAUCAAUCCAGCCAGGUAGGAAGAGCCGUCUCAUUACAGGUCUGAAGGUCAUCUUGAAUAUCCAUUUAGGUCCCUUUCCAACGUCAGACUCUCCUUGUGGAAUUCCUUUUGGUGUCCAUCCUCCAUUGAUCCUGAUUGGUGAAGUCCUAGUUUGAAGUCACUGAUCUGAACACGCCGCUUGCAUCCUUUUGCACUUGAGUUGGAUACUCUCCUUCCUGCCCAGUGUGUUGGAUAUCGCUCCGCAGCGUCGCUCUGGGCUCUUCAUGUCUACUGGAGGCCUUUAAGUAAACGUGUGGCCGUCCAUCAGGUAUGAUUUAUUUGACCAUUCCAAUAUCCCAAGCCAAUCACACAGACCUCCGUAUGAACAUUAUCACUGUCAAAGCAAGCCGGACACACACACACACACAUAGACCCAAGGAUUCACACGUAGAACCCCAUGCCAGGUGUGAGUGGGAGACACACACACACAGUAGAACCCUUGCGAUGCUCAAUAAUCAUCCAUCUCAUGUCAAACCCAAACACACACACCACCGAGCCAUAAAAGGCCAAACAAUCAUGCAGGGUAAAAACCUCAUGCCAAACAACGUUCCAUCAUCCAACCCCAGCUCUCCUGCCAGGGCACCCAGAACAGAACAACCAAUGUCUCCAGAGAAGGAAAUGAUGUACAACAUUCUUCAGUGGCGUCCCACAUUGGUGAUGGAUUAUGCUUGGCGUCUCCAAAAUGUCUCCAAGGUUGAUUCAACGUCUAUGAAGUCAUGUCUUUGUAGUCCAGUGGUUUCCUGAAUGAGGAGCAUUCACAGAUGCAAGCGGUUUUGCUUUAGUCAGCCUGAGGACAGGAAGGAGGUCAUCUGUUCAGAAGACCACACAGUGGAGGGGGGUGGCUCUUGAGGAGCAGGAUCCAUCUGGGGAUGGCCCCAAAUAAGACCUUCUUGGAAAUGAAACUGCUCCUGAGGAGUCAGGAUGCCUGGAGGGGACUGUUGAAUGUGUUCCAUGGUUAUGUAUCAGACUGAAGUUGUGUUUUUGUCGUUGAGAUGAGGAGUCCCCUCAUCUCCCCCUGGUGUUUCUCCUUCUGAAUCCCUGUCUCCAUCUUAAAAGAACAUUCUAGUCCAUGUAACUGACAUCACGACGGUUUCUCAAACACUUGGUUUCUCCUGAGGGGGCGUGUCUACAGACCUGUAGACUUCAGACAGCUCUGUAUCCCAGUAUGCACCUCUGCUCACUCAGACCACACCCUCAUCAGUGAAGCAACGCUCAUGUGAUGAAGAUGCAGAGCUCAGGAGUGUAGCUGGAA